rnacentral:rRNA from 1 species
GAUGAACGCUGCCGGCGUGCCUAAUACAUGCCAGUCGAGCGAACAGACGAGGAGCUUGCUCCUCUGACGUUAGCGGCGGACGGGUGAGUAACACGUGGAUAACCUACCUAUAAGACUGGGAUAACUUCGGGAAACCGGAGCUAAUACCGGAUAAUAUAUUGAACCGCAUGGUUCAAUAGUGAAAGACGGUUUUGCUGUCACUUAUAGAUGGAUCCGCGCCGCAUUAGCUAGUUGGUAAGGUAACGGCUUACCAAGGCAACGAUGCGUAGCCGACCUGAGAGGGUGAUCGGCCACACUGGAACUGAGACACGGUCCAGACUCCUACGGGAGGCAGCAGUAGGGAAUCUUCCGCAAUGGGCGAAAGCCUGACGGAGCAACGCCGCGUGAGUGAUGAAGGUCUUCGGAUCGUAAAACUCUGUUAUUAGGGAAGAACAAAUGUGUAAGUAACUAUGCACGUCUUGACGGUACCUAAUCAGAAAGCCACGGCUAACUACGUG